GGAAGGACAGCGCGGGGUGUGGCAGCGUGGGAGUCGGGACACCCAGGAAGGGACGGAGGGGUGGAUUGGAGGAAAGGGGGAGCGCUUCGGGCUCCAGAGCUUGGAGCGCGCUGCGCUCACAUUUUCAGCCGCCCCCCUCCCCAGCCCACCUCUCAGUUUUACCCUAGGUCCGUGCUCCUCCCCGAGAGCGCCUCGCGCAAUGACCAUCGGACACGUUCACGGGCACCCACUUGACACCAGCAUAAUUUUGCACACUUGGAGUCCAGACACUGACAGGCUGGUACACCGGUGUGCUGAUGUCACGUACAAUGACAAACCUUCGCGACGACACACUCAGACCCCCACCUUCGUACACUAUUCCAACCCCACGCUGGCACGCUCGCCAGUGCACGUACACCCACGCACCCGGGCACACUUGCCCACACAGGCAGGUGCACUCUGCCCCUUAGUUCUCUCGCCUUCUCCCCAGCAGAGCCAAUCUGGCUGCGCCAGGGCGAGGCUGCUCUGUCUAAAAUAACCUAACAAAGAGGCAAGGGGAGGAUGGGGGAAGCCAGUGCGGUGUGUGUGUGCCGGUGUGGGUGCGGGUUGUGUGGCGAGGCCCACUUUCAGCCAGAAGUCCCCUCUCCCUCCUACCCGGCACAGGGUCCAAACAAUCGGACGAAGAAAACACGUUUCCAAGGCAAAGAAAGCUGCCUCUUCGUACCCGUGAUUUCCCUGCUCCCGAAACCCCAAACUCCUUUAAAGUCUCCUGGUCCCCAUGGGUGCUGCGGAGGUGGUGGUGACGAGCGUGUCCUGGGCGGCGCGUGGGGCUGUGGCUCGGCUCUGCCCCGCGCGGAUCCGUGCGGUGCGGUCCCCGCCGCGAUGCCCGUGCGCCUGCCGGUCCACGUUGGCUGGGGCGCCUACUCCACCUGGGCAGUCCCGACUCCGUUCUGGUUUCCUACAGCCCAGCCGACGACUCUAAGUAGCCAAAGCAGCUGGCUCCAGGGCCCGCCCCCGGACGCGCUCAUUGGUUGGGGCCGAUGCCCAGUGCUCGUCAAUCUCUGCCGGAGGGGGAGGGGAGCAGGGGCGGGUCUCCAGCGUGCGCCCUGCCACGCCACGCCCCUUCCCGCCCCGCCCUGCCCCCGUACACCGGAGCGCGCGCCGCCCCCGGGGCUAGGUGCGAGCGCCGGCCGGGAGCGCGCGAGGGGCGGGGCGCUUCCGUACGGCGGCUCGGCCGGCUUCCAUCCAGCAGCUUCGCCUACCGAUCGAGACUGGGCGCGCCGUCAGCCUGCGUUCUGUGUUCCGGGAGAACAGACUCCAGCGACGAAGCUGAGUCUGAGGGUGGAGAAAAAUCCCCAGUGCACCCCGAGCCUUUUGCGCGGCCCGGGGCGGGGAACGACGUUGUCAGAGGCGGGCACCCGGGGACCCUGCUGAGGACCCCUGAGCCUGGGUUCCUGAGGGCCCCUGGGCUGGUCCUCGGCGCACAGACUUUUUCCUGACGGCCACCGAUCCCUUUGAAAUUGUGCCUGCGGUGUUCGGUUCAUCUCCUUUGACCUGUGUGGAGCUGCUGACCCAGCACUGGCGCCUGGUUUAAAAGGAGCGCGGUGUCCAACACGAAUGAAAAGGCGGAGCCUUGACCACCCCCCUCCCUGACUGGGCCUGAGUUUGGCCUCCAAGUCUGUCUGUGAAGGGGGCGCAUCACCAAUGUCGACAGUGGGACAUAAUCUUGCUUCCCAACCCCCAGAACUGCCAUUGCUAAGGGAUUGCUAAGGGAUUUUUGUUUGGUUUCGUGGGAGAAGGGUGUCCAGCAGUAAUUAAUGAUGGCAUUCCUGGUUGGAAAGUUAAUGAAUGUGCUCUGGAUAUGGGAUGCUGAAAGAUGACUUUCACACAUGUGAAAUUUUAGAUCGACAGUUUAAAAAGCUUAUAACGUUAAGUCCUGAAGAGUUCUUAGACAUCUAGUUCUACUUUCAAGGCUGGGCUCCAGCAGCUUCUCGGUGGAGCCUACUCUCUUUACCCAGGGAAAACUGGGUGCUUCCUCUUUGUGCCCCCUUGGCAGCUGGUACAAACUCUUAGUGCUCUCAUCCCAUUUUAUUACCAAUCUCUGUUGACUUUCUUCCUCUUUAAAAAGUGAAUGCCUUCGGGAUUGACUUGUGUUCUACAUAAUUUUGUAUUCUGGACCUUUUUAACAGUACUUUUUAACAGAAUGGGUUCCAUCAGCAGUAAUGAAAAUGAAAACAGUCAACAAGUAUUGACCACUUACAAGUUGCUAGGCACUACGUCUUGGUGUUUAAGUAAAUGACUUAAUCUCCCUGCCUCUGUAGGGGAUUCACUAACAUCCCCACUGCAACAAACGAGAAACUGAGGCCCAAAUACCAGCGCCAGCAAUCUAUCCAGGCUCUAUGGGAUUUCAGGACCAGUCUUUAACCUGACUCUGCUGUUGGUUGAAUGAAUAAAAUCGUGUUGCAUAAGUGUCUCGACAACGUCAUGGAAGAGGCAGUGUGGAGAUGUUGCUAUGGAAGAUGUUGAGUGAGGGCUGAAGGAGGCUACUUCAUUCACAGACGUCCACUCACCUGGACCAGUUCGCUAUAUCAAACACCUAUCAGUACCUGGAACAUACUAGAUAAUGUCACUGUUAAUUUUUUAUGGGAUAAAGAAAUGAGCCAUAAAACAUCGACAUGAAGCCAAGAAGUCACUUUCUCCUACCUAAAUCAAGAAGUUUUAUAAAUUUCUUUUCAUCAAAAUGGAACUGAGGGCUUCCCUGGUGGUGGCAGUGGUUAAGAAUCUGCCUGCCAAUGCAGGGGACACGGGUUCGAUCCCUGCUCCGGGAAGAUCCCACAUGCUGCGGAGCAACUAAGCCCGUGUGCCACAACUACUGAGCCCGCGUGCCACAACUGCUGAGCCUGCGUGCCACAACUACUGAAGCCCGCACACCUAGAGACCUUGCUCCACAACAAGAGAAGCCACCAACGUGAGAAGCCUGCGCACCACAAUGAAGAGUAGCCCCCGCUCGCAGCAACUAGAGAAAGCCCAUGUACAGCAACGAAGACCCAACGCAGCCAAAAAUAAAAACAAAUAAAUAAAUGUAUUAAAAAAAAUGGAACUGAAAGGUUGGCUCUUUACAGCCACCACAUAACAUCCCCACAGAAAGAGAAAGAGCUACGCCCAGUUAUUUUCUGUAUUUGCAAGAAUGUGAAGAAGGGUGAUGAAAUCAAAUAGCUAUAGCAGUCAAUAUGCAGUUAAAGAAAACUCUAUUUUUGUCUCUUUUUUAUUCCAGCUUUAUUGAGAUAUAAUUGACAUAACAUUGUGUAAGUUUAAGGUAUACAAUGUGAUAAUAUGACAUAUAUAUUGUGAAAUUAUCACAAUAAAGUUAGUUAAUGCAUCUAUCACUUCUCAUAAUCACCAUUUUUUGUGUGUGGUGUGAACACUUAAGAUCUACUCUAAUUUUCUUUCUAAUUUUCAGUAUAUAAUAUAUAAUACAGUAUAUAAUACAGUAUUAUAGACUAUAGUCAUUAUGCUAUACAUUAGAUUCCCCAGAACUUAUUCGUCUUACAGCUGGGAGUUUGUACCUUUUACCAACAUCUUCCUCAUUUUUCCUGCCUCUCAGCCCUUGACAACUACCAUUCUACAAUGUUUCUAUGAGCUUGUAUUUUUCAGACUCCACAUAUAAGUAAGCUGCUAUAGGAAAACUCUAUUUCAAAGUUUGAGUCUUGGAUGAACGCAGUCAAAAGGUACAAACUUUCAGUUACAAGAUAAAUAAGUACUAGGGAUGUAAUGUACUACAUGUGAAAUAUAAUUAACAUUGCUGUAUGUUAUAUAUGCACCUUCUAAAGAGAGUAGAUCCUAAGGGUUCUCAUCACAAGGAAAACAUGUUAUUUUUCCCUAUUUCUUUAAUUUUGUGUCUAUAUGAGAUGAUGUUCACUCAACUUACUGUGAUCAUUUCACGAUGUAUGUAAGUCAAAUCAGUAUGUGGUACACCUUAAACAUUACAGUGCUGUACGUCAAUUAUAUCUCAAUAAACCUGCCAGAAAAAAUUCUGCUAACAAAAGUAAAAUGAAUACAUAAAAAUAAUAACGUUUGAGCCUUUGCAGUUGAAGGACAAAAGCUUUUACAGUCCAUACUGAUAUCAUGAACAAGGGCCAACAUGGGCUGAUGUAGGGACACAGAAAUAGACCAGUCAACCAUGGAGUCCAAAUGACAACAGAAGAACAUUCGAAUCAGAACAGAGGAAGACUCACCAACUGUGCUCAGCUAAAUGUUUCGCCAAAACUCUAAUUUGGACACAUCAGAGACAUUCUUCUGUAUUGUGGAAUAUCAUAUGUCUGUGCUAACAGGCUAAACAGAGCUCAUUUCUGAGCAUGAGCUCCUUCCACACUAAUCUCUAAUUGACCUUAAAGCCUUCAGUAUAAAAAAAAAAAUACACAUACUGUAGGAUCACCAGCUCUUGUUGGUCCAAAAUGAGUUCACCAGUAAGAAAUCCCUCUUAAAAAACUGAAGAAGAAUAAGGCCUCCUUGCUUGCUCUGUUUGGAACAGCCCUAAAAAUACAUGUCAUC